GGCUCGGUCUUUCUAACCCUAAGCGGAACGUGGCCCCUCCCCGCCGCAGCCGUCCGCUGUUUUACUCGCUGACUUUCAGCGGGCGGGGGGAGCGGGCGGAGACACCAACCAAAAAACGUCAGCGAGGGGCCCUCCCCUCCCACGCCGACCUGGGCCGGUGUGGGGCCCGCCAGGGAAGUCCCCGCCGCCCCGCCCUGGUGAGGCCGCGGUCAGCCGGUUCGCGCCACUGCUGCCGCGAAGAGUUCGUCUCUGUCAGCCUCGGGGGCGGCCGGGGUGGAAGGGCGGGUCCCGUGCGGGUCGGCCGGGAGAGCAAACAUUUCCUGCCAGUUAAAAGUAAGCAGGGAACAGCUCAAGGUUCUGCAUCUCUCUGGCCAGUAGGGGUAUGCUCCCUGAAUAAUUGAGUACUCUCAAAAUCACUGAAUCCCUGAAAAUACUCUUACUUUGCUCUGAAAGUCAUCUGUUGUACUUGGUUUGAGUUUGUCAGCUGUCUCAUCAACAUAAAAAUGUUGGCUAGACGGUUUAAUAGCAAAGGUAUGGUCCAUAUGGAGCAGUAAAAAGAUUUAGGAUUGUGUCUGCAUAUCGAUACCACAAUCCAUCACCACAUGAUCUUCUGUAGCAUUCUGGUCGGCAAAGGAAAGAGAAUGGAGCCUUGAAGACCACAGAAGGGAAGAAGAUAACAUUGUUUUCAACAAUUUUAAAUAGAUUUGGAAAUUCAUUACAUAGUUCAUUAUCCAUGAUUUUUUUUUUAAUUCUUAGGCUCCUAGUCUUACUAUAUUUAAUUUGGUUUCCCAGAUCUUCAGUCCAGCAUGUGAUAAUAGCACUGGGCCAAAUCUAUUCCUCAUGUACCUCAUUUUAGUGGAGUUUACAAAUUAUUUACAAAUGUUAGGGAACUGAGGUCUUUAGGGAACUGGGAAGCGUAUUACUCCAAAUUUACUUCUAUUGGUUUGUACGACAGCAAGCAAAGUUUUGUGUGAGAUGGCUGUCUUGGGGUGUUACGACUCUGAUUCUACAAAAAAAUCAGGGAAGAUUCAGCUAUUGCGGUUGUGCUGCCUUCCCAUCUGCACUAGUGCUUUACUACAGAAAUGGUUCAAAAGAGCACUGUUGUGGCUUUUCAGGAACCAGAAUAACUGAAGCUCUCAGCAGGUUUUCCCUUUAAGAGCUUAAAACUAUUUGUUAGUGGCCGCCACCACAGAAAGUGAAGAAAAUCACACUUGAUAGUUCUCCCCUUGAAAUUCAAUUGUUAUCAAGCAGCAACCCCUGUGAGAGAGAGCAGCUUGGGGAAGCAGAGCUGAAGUCGUGUUGUCCCUUGCUUCAUUUCAUGUUUCAAGUUUUAAAUUCUUUUUUUAAAGCAUAACUUAUUGUAUGACUUAUUUAACACUUGUGUACAAUGCCAUAUGUACACUUGCUGUGUGUAAAAAGAAUAAAGACAUGAUCACUGCUUCAAGGACCUCAUAAUCAAGGAUAGAUAUGACAUGAUGUGAUACAAGGAGAGAGAACAUCACUCAAGGAGGGAAAGGAAGGAUUUACAUACAAUAAGUUUAUGAAGUUGCUUUCAUAAAGUUUUCAUCAUGUUAGGAUUUAAUUUUAAAACAUGGCCCCACUGUGCCUUGGUGAUUUAUGCAUGGACGUUCCACUUAAGGCAGAUGGGUAACUGCCUUUGGUAUUGUGCCUCUUUUUACCUUGGCAUGUUCUCCGUAGUGGCAGGGAGAUGCUGUGGCUAGAGGCAGGCUAUGGGAAAUAUUCCCCAUUGCUCCAUCAGCUCUGUGGAGCAUCUGUAAAAAAGUACAGCCUGGGGCUGUUGUUAAAUUUCCUUCAGAGACCUUCUAUGUGGUGGGAUACCUCUUUCAGGAUAGUGGAAAUGGCAGUGCUGCUGCCAAGGAGCUGGAGGAGGAAAGGGACCAGAAAGUUAGUUUGCAAGUGCAGAGUGCUACACAGAUGGCUCUCUCCUCCCGUGUAUCCCCCAAGAGCUGUGGGGUUCUUGAAUGGGCCGCAGGUUGAGGCAUUGAGGAAUCAGUUCCCUGUAAAAGAAUUUGGAGAGAAAACUGUGAUAGGCACCCUGUAGCGUAUCUUUCCCUCUGUAGGUUUCUGUCACAUGUAGGCACAAACUGGGCCUUUGUUGUUUUAAAUUAAAAAAAAAACUUGAAUUUACUAUUUAAAUAGGUUAGUAUGGAAGGAAUGGUAGAAAGAGGGGAAUUUGCAGGAUAUACUGCCCAAAGGCCUUGUUGGGCCUGGUAAAAACAUGAAUCCAGUUAAUUUCUUAGAGGUAGCCGCUCAGCCCGCCUUCAUAAAAAUGGUACAUUUGCUGAAGUGCAUCAGGUAGGAGAAAUAACAAUAUAAUACAGAAAUAACAGUAAAAGUAGCAGGAAGGUCUCAUACUGUAGAAGACCUGAAAGUGCUAUAACAAAAUGAAUCUUCAUGGCCCUGAAGAAUUUGUGUGUGCUGUUUGUUCAGUUCGAGACAUAAAAGUGUGCACAUUCCCCCCUCUAUUUUUAAUACGCUCUUUUGGCUGCAUGUUUUGCCAUGUGAACUUCGGUUUUUGUCAGUGGUUCAGUGGAUAGAACACUGGGCUGGAGACGGCACUUAUGUUCUAUGCCUGGGUCUGCCACAGACUAUGUGACUUCUGUCAAAUCACAGAUUCUUACUUCUCCAUCAAUAAAAUAAUAAUAAUAAUAUGUAACCACCUAAGGGCUAAGCCCUAAGGGCUUAUCUGUAUGCAGAAGCUGCACAGGUUUAGCUAAAAUUAAGUUAAGCUGCUGCAACUUGUGUGUGUGCAUGUGUGAACUCUCCUAUUGGUUUAAAAUUAACUAUCUUGGUUUAGUUUGUGCCUGUAAAUUUACUGAUGCGAGCUAAACCAAUAUAAGCCAGGUUUAACUCAUAUAAAAGUGGUGUCCACACAUAAAGUUGUACCAAUUAAAGUAAAUCAUAUAAAAUCACACCAUUAGUAGGUAAACUGUUACAACUCUUUGUGUAGACCAUGCCUAACAGUGAGAUCUAUGCUUUAAAAAUACUAUAUAAGGGAUACUUAUUCAUAUUAUUUAUUAUUCUAGUUAAAGAAAAUUCCAAUAAAAUAUUUUCUUUUUAAAAACUAAUAUUCAUGUGAUUGUCUAAGAAAAUGAAGGUAGAGUUUAAACUGAACUACAGUAUAAAGUCUAACAAAACAGCUUGACCUUACUUGUGAUACAAACAAACAAAAGUGUCCUGGCGAGGAAUAAUAGUUAUCAAAGAUUGAAUAACUGUUUUAUUUGAAGAUUGAUUAACUACAGACUAAUCUGGCUAAACAUUAAUUGAAUUUAACCUAGUCCUGUUCCUAGACUAAUCUAAGGGUAUAUGGAAAUUUUUAAAAUGUAGGUGUGAUGUCAUAUAUACAGAUAUGAAUUGGCAAAAAGGCAAUGGGAGAGAUGUAGCUUUUUUAACCAUUGUAUUGAUUUUUGGAAAUAAUCUUUAUAUGUAAAAUGUUAUUCAAUCAAAUCUGCAUAACUAAUAAAAAUGGGAACUGAAACACAUGCUGGCUUUUCAUAUUUAUGUAUCCCUUUUUGCUUUGCGAAGAUCUGCAUUUUCAAGUUGACAUGCUUGAUUCAGAAAAUUGAAGCCAGAGUGCUAGAUGUUUCUGGUAGGUCCAUUAUACUAUCAGCUGUGCAGGUUGUUCUCACAGUUCAAAUUAAUCUUUCUGUGGAUUGCUGGGUUUUUUGUUUGUUUUGUUUUGGUCCUUGAAUUACCUAAUUACAUUGGCUUUCGUUAAUCCUGUAUUUACUGUCUAUAUGUUAUUUGGAUAAAUAUGAAUUUGUAACAAAAAGUAAUGAAAUGACUUAAUUUCAAUUGGCCAGAGUAAAUGCAUUUAAGUAAAAUAAAGAUACAAUAGUAUUUUUAACACCUAGCAACUUUUGUCUUCAAAGUGCACUACAAACAUAAGUAUUGUCCUUGCUCUACUGAGGGGAAAACUGAAACUCAGU